UGGACAGAAUCUAGUGCUUAGUAGGGAC
rnacentral:piRNA from 1 species